AACUGCAGUGAGGGCAGCCUCCUGAAGCCAGGUGUGGUUUUCAAGAUGGCCUUAAUCUUAUAAAUGACAGGAAGUGUUGUCUCGCCUGAGCUGAUGUUCAGAAGGUAUUACUCAAGGGGAGAAAAGCAAGUUCUUUGGAUCAGACCUUAAUCUGGUGACUGGCCUCCAGCUGCUCAGGAGGAUGCCUCAUAGGAAAAGGAGUUAUCCAGCAUACCUCGGGCAUACCUGUGGCCUUCUGCCAUAACACAGAGAGCACCACAAGCCUUGCUGCAGUACAAACUCUAAAGACCACUAUGGUGUUCAGCUCCGUCCUAAUGAGCCGUGCUUUGUCAGAGCUGGCCUGGCUCUGCAGAUGGCCAUCAGGGGCUGAAGUGAUCUUCGGUCCCAUUCAGAGCAGCAGAAGCAGCUUUGUGAAAUCUGCUGGAGGCAGGAGGCGCAAAAGCUGACACAGAACCUGUGCGGGAUUCCUGCAGGCUGGGCAUUAGCUGAUGCCACUGUUACAGGGAGAGGAGCUGUGGAAGGAGAGAGCUGCCUGGAGAGGAGGCAGAAAAUGCACACAGGGACCAGGCAGAGACAAGCCUGCAACCACCGGUGAUGGAGGCAAGCAGGACCCACAGGCUCAGUGGGAGCGGAGGUGAAGGAGCCCAGUGGAAAGGGGCAGGGGGAACCAGGGAGAAACUGCUCCUUGCACAGCUCAGCUUUUGAGCCAGCAUCCCUAUGGGCCUGUCGCAGCUGAUCAGUUAGCUGAUGUUCACAGCAGCUGUACAAAGUGUUGUCUGUGGCUGAAGGGGACUUUUUCCCCAAUGACUUUUCCCCUCUGUGGUUUCUCUGGUGAGUAUGAGAGCCGUGUGGUCCAGGGAAGCCAGCUCUGCUGUGCGGACAGGGCCAGGAGUCGUUUCACUUGCCAAGAAGGGGAGGAGCACAAUUCCCUGCAGGCCAGGGUCGGACAUGCAGGUGAGAGGCAUCAUCCCUCCUGGGUGACGGCACCAGCAGCUCAGUGGGGCAAGGGUGCCUUUUGCUGUCCUCUCCUUGCUGCGUUUCUGUGUGUUUCUGCCCCACGUGGCAUAUAUUUGAGCAAGGUUUGUGAAAGCUGGUGACCCUGCCUGGCCACAACACCCCAAAUUUCCAGUUAUUUGGGCCCAGAGAAGAGCUCAGCAGCUGGUGUCAGCUGUGGAGUUGCUGCACUGGCUCACAGUGAUAGCGAGCAGCCGCAGAGCUGAAUGCAGACCUGGGCCAGUCCCGGGCUGUUGCUGCUGGUGGUUUCAGUGCCUGUGAGGAGCCGCCACUCUGUGCUGUGGUGGCUCCUCUGCCUGGAAACCCCACUUCAGGGGCACAUCAGCAGAUGCACCUCAGAGAGGGAGGGUCUGUCAUUCAGGCCUGAGGGCACCCCAGACUCCUGUCACCCCAAGAAGCAAGGUAAGUACUGUUCUCCUCCAUUGGGGUGUCAGUACGAGAUACCUCAGACCUGAGCUGCAUCUGCUGCAGGUAAGUGCCUGUGCUGAACCACAGCCUGCUUUCUCCUGCCCCCCCCCAUAGGCAAGCUCAGAGUAGGGGCUGGUUGCAGAGGAAUGUCUGGCAGCUGCUGGGGAGCCCUCCAGCUGGGGGCAGACACUAGAGGGAGGUGCAGCUCACCAGCUCCCCACACAGGUACCCCAUUUUAAAAGUCCAGGGCAAUGGUUUGCCCUUACUCAGCUGAAAAGCGGAAAGGUCUGGAGUGGGUGGCAAGCCACUCACGGAAGGGGUAAGUAGGGCUCUGCAUGUAGCCGUGAGGUUUUGGGCUGGAGGCGUCUCCUACUUAGAAGUCAUGAGUGAGAAAACGAGCUCUUAAAUGGUAGGUGGCAAUAAAGCAAGAGCAGCUUUGGGAAUGCAUCUCCCCAUGUCCUGCAUCAGGUGGAGGCACUGACAACUGGAAAUGUCUGUACAGGAGCCAGCAGUGUGUUGGUUCAGGGCGAGCACCAUUGCACCCUGGAAGGGAACAGAGACGCUGGGGAAAGUGUUCACACUGUAGUCUUGGGUGCAUUUCACCCCUUUGAGCACAGCACGUGCUGAGCAGACAGAAAUUCAAUCCCUGGGCUGGCUUUAAUUCUUCCACUUCUCUCUUUGCAUUUCCCGUGCCCUGUGCCUCCACAACCAUGUGUCCCCGAGCGGCAGCUGGUGUGCAGGGCCCAGUGCCCUGCGCCGCUGCUGCUGGCUGCCGCACUGGUAACAUGAGCCAGCUCGCCGCAGCUGAGCUGCUGUGCGGCAUGUUGGGACGGGGAAAACUUGCUGCUUUUCUGUCUGGUUUUUGGUUCGCUGUAAAUCCAGAGCAGAGCAGUCAUGUUUCUGUGGGUGUAGGAGGCCGAGCGCAGUGUGUGGUGGGGGGGUGGGAGGGGGUGAGUCACUUGCUGUGCACCGCAGCUGGGGCCAGCCCAGACAGCACUCCUGGGCUGCACUUGCUGCUUUAUUGCCACAAAAGGCUUGAACCAAAGACAGAGAUGAGAUCGCCCUCCUGCCUGGCCCUGAAAGCAAACACCUAUCACCUGAGGGGGGGAGCAGGAAGAAGGCACUGAUAAAUGAAGCACUGGAUUAAGGUAUCAGAUUUUUCCUGCUGGGAUUUAAUGCCCUAAAGGACAGUGCAUUAUAGGUAUUAAAGCAAGACAGAGUCUGCUCUCAGCUAGCCCAGCAGCACCCUGAUAAGCUGUGCAUGCCACAGGGACCAGCUCAGGGCUGCAGCUCAUGCCACAGGAGAGCUGAGCAUCUCCUGGCACUCGCAGGCCAAGACUGGCUGCAGAAGGACGUGGACACCAAGGGCACCUCAGUGUGAGGGACACAAGCCUCGCACCAGGAACAGGCCUUGCACAAGGCCUGUGUCUCUUGUUCUGUGAGGCGAAGCAGGGCAAGGCUGGGCUCUCCCUCCCUUGUCCCUUGCAGUGGUGGGCGAGGCUGCCUGCUGCGGCCCUGGCAUGCUGCCGACCUGUGGGGGUCUGCCUCCCCCUUACCGACCUCAUUGUGGAGGGAAAGAACCAAGCCAGAGUUUAUUUUAAUUGUUUAUUGUAUAAUAUAAAACUACAAAAGUAAGACUGCUCAUUUCCAUGUACAUUUGUCCAAUUGUUUUUUUUGAUUACAGCCCAUACCUACAUGUGAAUACAGUAAUCUGGUUUCAGAUGUAUAUGUCUGUAAUAUUGCAUAGAAAAGGCACAGCUCUAAGGUCUGUGGGAAGGGAAAGGGAAAUACAGCCUUUUUUUUUUUUUUUUUUGACAAUAACAAGCCCUGUUCAAACAACCAUGCACUGAACAUGUCACACUAUUUACACCUUUUCCAGAAUCUUGGCCUUUGCAGGCACUAGCAUGGAUUAUGCUCAGAACUACAUAGGAGUCAAGGUUGGGAUUUUAUCUGCAAUUUAUGUUUUUAAAGAUGUUCCAGAACUUGCAUUAGGCUUAUUUUCAGAAAAAGAAAAAGUGCUUAGAAGAGAACUAAUUUAUUUUAAAAUGUUCAGUCUUAUUAAUUAAUAGAAGCACUGAAAGCAACUUGCACAGAAGCAGGAUACUGAAACCUGGUGGGGGGACUGGGGAACAACCCAAAACAAAACCAAAACAAACUCUAACACGAACAAAAAGUUCACAAGAUGCCGGAGUGAAUUAAACCGUUUGUCAGACAGGACCCAUUACGAUUUACUCAAUUUAAUGGUGACUAAAGUGUAAACUUUGGAUUCAAAACAUUGGUUUUAAACAACCCAGGCUAUUACCACACAGCAUUGAGGGAAAACCAAAUUACCUUUCACAAGGUCCAAAUUUAUUCUUACAGUGAUUGCUUCAGACAGUGGCUUUACUGUCUUGCUUUUCUAGCUGGCUGCAAGGAAGAUGCCAGAUGGAUGCAUUUAUGUAUGACUCUGCUCCAAGAGGGAAGCUCCCCUUCAUUUGCUGACAGGGCUCUGCAGUCCCGUCAGGCUCUGGAGGGGACCCGUGGUGUCCAAGGAGUAGCUGGGGGGAUGCACAGAGCAACACCGGUCAUUUGAACUCAAGCAAGCAAACCCCUCCGCUGCAUCUGUGAAGUGCGGUCAUCACUUCUUGUCUGGCUUUACCUUCUGGCAAUGAGGUGGUGCCAGCUCUGUUGCUGCAUCUUCUGGGGCUGGAGGUAACAUCCAUCCUGCAACCUUCUUCACCUGUCCAGCCCCAGGGACUUCAGGUGGGCUUCCCGUGUGUGUUUUAAAAAAAAAAAAACCACACCUUUUUCAAACACUUGCCAGGCUAGCACAAUAGAGGUGAUUGCAUCUGCUCCUGGUUUCUGUUGCAGAUUCCAGCAGAGUGCCGUGGAGGGCCAGCAGGAGAAGCUGAUGGGGUAGGAGCCUGACUAGGACUAAUUUUGAACAUAAAACUUGUUCUUCACCCAUACCUUUUUUUGCAUAUUUCAAACAACCAGACCCAUAUUGGAAAAAGAAAGUGUGUGUGUGUGUAAGUUAUGUGAACCAUGCAUAUCCUGACUGGAACUCAAUUUUCUCUGAAUCUGGCUCCCAUACCCUUUUUCAUACAGAUUUACAUUCCUACAAGAGAAUACAUUCCUACCAUACAUUCUGUACAUGUUACAAUCCAGAUGUUGUUAGCUUCACAAUAAAAUAAAUAUAUUUACAAAAGGAAAAAAAGAAUAAAUAAUUUAUGAAAAAAAAAAUCACUUCAAAUCCAAAGCUCCUUUAUUCUGCUCCCAUCUUGUCACUUCAUUGCACAUUAAUGUCACUCUCCAUCCCUGGUGUAGGUCUUGGAGACGUUUCAUGCAUGGCUGCUGUUAGGAUGGCAGCAAAGGCCACGCUAGAGGCAGUAAGUGACCAUGUGGGCAGGAAGCCACAGCUGAGCCCUUCCCUCUGUAGCCUGCCACGCUUACAGACCAGCACCAGCCUUGCUAACCUUUUGCCUAGUCCCAUAAGCCAGGUAUGUUUAUGUCCUAUGGGAUUCCUGUAAGGACUCUGCUAUAGGAUGUGCGCUUCAGCACCAAUGAUACACAGACACCACCUUCUGAGUGGUAAAACAGAUUUAGAGCUCCUCUCCCGUUCUGUGGAUACAAAAACUUCAACUAACCCCUCUUGAACAACAGCACAGCUCUCUGAAAAUGGCACUGAUGUGAAUUUUUGCCUAGCAAUACGGUAGUUGUUUAAAUGCAUAAGUAAUUCCCUGUUCCCACACACACCCCACCCC